GAUGAACGCUGGCGGCGUGCCUAAUACAUGCAAGUCGAACGAACACACAAGGAGCUUGCUCUUUUGACGUUAGCGGCGGACGGGUGAGUAACACGUAGAUAACCUACCUAUUAGACUGGGAUAACUACGGGAAACCGGAGCUAAUACCGCAUAAUAUAUUCAACCGCAUGAUGCAAUAGUGAAAGGCGCUUUUGCUGUCACAUAUAGAUGGAUUCGGGUUGCAUUAGCGAGUUGGUAAGGUAACGGCUAACCAAGGCAACGAUGCGUAGCCGACCUGAGAGGGUGAUCGGCCACACUGGAACUGAGGCACGGUCCAGACUCCUACGGGAGGCAGCAGUGGGGAAUCUUGGACAAUGGGCGAAAGCCUGACGGAGCAACGCCGCGUGGGUGAUGAAGGUCUUCGGGUCGUAAAACCCUGUUAUUGGGAAAGAACAGCUGUAGAUGUAAAUCUGCACGUUUUGACGGUACCUAAUCAGAAAGCAACGGCUAACUACGUG
rnacentral:rRNA from 1 species